rnacentral:rRNA from 1 species
CCUACGGGAGGCAGCAGUGAGGAAUAUUGGUCAAUGGGCGCAAGCCUGAACCAGCCAAGUAGCGUGCGGGAUGAAGGCCCUACGGGUCGUAAACCGCUUUUGCACGGGGAUAACACCCUCCACUCGUAGAGGUCUGCAGGUACCGUGCGAAUAAGGGCCGGCUAAUUCCGUGCCAGCAGCCGCGGUAAUACGGAAGGUCCGAGCGUUAUCCGGAUUCAUUGGGCUUAAAGGGUGCGUAGGCGGGCGUUCAAGUCAGCUGUAAAAUCGCGCGGCUCAACCGCGCCCCGCAGUUGAAACUGGACGCCUUGAGAUCACAACAGGCAGGCGGAAUGCGUGGUGUAGCGGUGAAAUGCAUAGAGAUCA